GGUGCUGUAGUGUAGUGGUUAUCAUGCGACGUUGUGGCCGUCUCGACCUGGGUUCGAUUCCCAGCAGCGCCA
rnacentral:tRNA from 5 species